UACGUAGGGGGCAAGCGUUGUCCGGAUUUAUUGGGCGUAAAGAGCGUGUAGGCGGCCAGGUAGGUCCGUUGUGAAAACUGGAGGCUUAACCUCCAGCGGUCCAUGGAAACCAUCUGGCUAGAGUCCGGAAGAGGAGAGUGGAAUUCCUGGUGUAGCGGUGAAAUGCGCAGAUAUCAGGAAGAACACCCGUGGCGAAGGCGGCUCUCUGGGACGGUACUGACGCUGAGACGCGAAAGCGUGGGGAGCGAACAGG
rnacentral:rRNA from 1 species